GAUUAUUUGAGCGUGCAACUUUGCGAGUUACUGAAUCGCAGCUGCUUUACUUCGAUGAAUGAACUUUAUUAUUCCUUACAAAAUAAAAUGGUUGGGCAAGUAGAUGGCAUCCUCGAUGCAAACGCUAUUGGCUUUUCACCGUCUCCUUUAAACUUUCAUAUGCCGACAACCUCCGACAAUUUGUCAUUUAUCCAGCAGGAUAUUUAUUCCGCUUCUGAUUCGUCUACUCUGCGAUCCCCCAUUCACCCAAAUUUGUUUUCGCAAGAUUUAUUGGACGAUUUUAAGCCUCAUAUUGACUUUUCUUUUUCAUUGGGUUGGCGUUCAUUAGCACCACGUUUUCUUGGAACUUCCACUGUGAAUUUUGUUGAUAACCUUUUAUUACUUUCAAAGUCGGAUAGAAGAAGAACAAUAUAUAAUA